rnacentral:misc_RNA from 1 species
UGUGGGAGCGAGCUUGCUCGCGAUGACGGUAUGUCAGUCGCCACCAAAGUGAAUGUCAGAUCGCAAUCGCGAGCAAGCUCGCUCCCACA